rnacentral:rRNA from 1 species
UACAGAGGUCUCAAGCGUUGUUCGGAUUCAUUGGGCGUAAAGGGUGCGUAGGCGGCCGUGCGAGUCUGGCGUGAAAGCCCCGGGCUCAGCCCGGGAAGUGCGCUCGAAACUGCGCGGCUCGAGUGCCGGAGGGGAGAGUGGAAUUCCUGGUGUAGCGGUGAAAUGCGUAGAGAUCGGCAGGAACACCCAGGGGGAAACCAGCCGACUGGGCAUCUGCUGACGCUGAGGUGCGAGAGCGUGGGGAGCGAACCGG